rnacentral:rRNA from 1 species
GUGGGUAGUUUGACUGGGGCGGUCUCCUCCUAAAGAGUAACGGAGGAGCACGAAGGUUGGCUAAUCCUGGUCGGACAUCAGGAGGUUAGUGCAAUGGCAUAAGCCAGCUUGACUGCGAGCGUGACGGCGCGAGCAGGUGCGAAAGCAGGUCAUAGUGAUCCGGUGGUUCUGAAUGGAAGGGCCAUCGCUCAACGGAUAAAAGGUACUCCGGGGAUAACAGGCUGAUACCGCCCAAGAGUUCAUAUCGACGGCGGUGUUUGGCACCUCGAUGUCGGCUCAUCACAUCCUGGGGCUGAAGUAGGUCCCAAGGGUAUGGCUGUUCGCCAUUUAAAGUGGUACGCGAGCUGGGUUUAGAACGUCGUGAGACAGUUCGGUCCCUAUCUGCCGUGGGCGCUGGAGAACUGAGGGGGGCUGCUCCUAGUACGAGAGGACCGGAGUGGACGCAUCACUGGUGUUCGGGUUGUCAUGCCAAUGGCAUUGCCCGGUAGCUAAAUGCGGAAGAGAUAAGUGCUGAAAGCAUCUAAGCACGAAACUUGCCCCGAGAUGAGUUCUCCCUGAGACUUUAGGUCUCCUGAAGGAACGUUGAAGACGACGACGUUGAUAGGCCGGGUGUGUAAGCGCAGCGAUGCGUUGAGCUAACCGGUACUAAUGAACCGUGAGGCUUAACCUUACAACGCCGAAG